rnacentral:rRNA from 1 species
UACGUAGGGUGCAAGCGUUUGUCCGGAAUUAUUGGGCGUAAAGAGCUCGUAGGCGGUUUGUCGCGUUCUGCUGUGAAAACCCGAGGCUCAACCUCGGGCCUGCAGUGGGUACGGGCAGACUAGAGUGCGGUAGGGGAGAUUGGAAUUCCUGGUGUAGCGGUGGAAUGCGCAGAUAUCAGGAGGAACACGAUGGCGAAGGCAGAUCUCUGGGCCGUAACUGACGCUGAGGAGCGAAAGCAUGGGGAGCGAACAGG